AACGAACGCUGGCGGCAGGCUUAACACAUGCAAGUCGAACGCAUCCUUCGGGGUGAGUGGCAGACGGGUGAGUAACGCGUGGGAACGUGCCCUUCAGUUCGGGAUAACCCAGGGAAACUUGGGCUAAUACCGGAUACGUGCGAGAGCAGAAAGAUUAAUCGCUGAAGGAUCGGCCCGCGUCUGAUUAGCUAGUUGGUGGGGUAAUGGCCCACCAAGGCGACGAUCAGUAGCUGGUCGGCGAGGAUGAUCAGCCACAUUGGGACUGAGACACGGCCCGAACUCCUACGGGAGGCAGCAGUGAGGAAUAUUGGACAAUGGGCGCAAGCCUGAUCCAGCCAUGCCGCGUGAGUGAUGAAGGCCUUAGGGUUGUAAAGCUCUUUCGUCCGGGACGAUAAUGACGGUACCGGAAGAAGAAGCCCCGGCUAACUUCGUGCCAGCCGCCGCGGUAAUAC
rnacentral:rRNA from 1 species